NNNGGCUGGCGUCACGCCUGGCGGGGGCCCCCGCAUGACGUCACCGGCGGGGGGGUUGUCCCGGGGCCGCGGCUCCUUCCGGCGGCAGGAUGUGGCGGGGCCGGCCCGGAUGCUGCAGCCUCGCCGGGGGGGUCCCUCCCUCCCCCGGGGCCCACGCGGGUGGCUGGGCACACCCCACCCGUGAUUUUAUUUUGGGGGCGGAAUGCAGCUGCGGUGUCCUCAACGCCCCCCCCCCGAAUUUGGGGGGGAGACACACAACAUUGCCCCACGCGUUUUUUGUUUGGUUUUUUUUCAUGCUGGGAAAGCUGCAGCGUCGCCAACAGCGCCACUAUAAAAGAGAGGACACACGCGUGGGGAGCAGCACUGUCCCAGGCGGGGGGCUGAAGUCACACCCCACCAAAACAGCCGUGGUUGUUUUGUUUUUGGGGUGUUUUCUGCAGAGGGAGGUGCGGUGUCCUCCCUACGAAAGGGAGGGACGCACGGGGAGGAAGCGCUGUUCCAUGCGGACUUUCGGGUGGAGAGGGAGCUGCUGUGUCCCCAACAGCCCCACAAAAGGUGGGACGAGAGUGAGGGACAGAAUUGUCUCACGCGGGCAUUUGAAACCAUAUCCCACCUGCGGUUUGGGGUUUUUUUGUGGGGGCAGAGCUGCUGUGUUCCCAACAGCCCCGCAGCAGAACGGGGGAUACGAAUGGAGGGACAGUUCUGAUCCGCACGGGCGGCUGAAGCCACAUCCUACCGGUGGUUUGGGGUUUUUUUGCGGGGGGAGCCGCUGUGUCCCCAACAUCCCCCGCCACAAUCAGGGGAGACGCGGGAGGGCAGCAGUGCCCCACGCGGGUGACCGACAUCCCACCCUGCCCGAGGGAUUUUCUGCGGGAGGGGGAGAAGUUGUGUCCCCAACAGGCUCCCCACAAAGGGUGGUCCCCGUGCCGUGGGGGGACGCGCAGCCCCCGCAGUGGGGCCCCUCCGAGGGCCGGGCAGGGGGCCCAGGGGACACCCGGCAGAACCUGUCCUGCAGCUCCCAGCGGGGCCGGGCUGUGGGAGAGGGAGGGCUGAGCCCACCCUGCUCUGCAGGUCCUGCCCCUCCAAGGUGACAGCCCACCCCCAGGACCCCCUGGUGUCCCCGGACCCACGCAGGCAGUGCUGGGGGGGCUAUGGGGGAGGUCACCUGCCACAGGUAGGUCCCUCAGGUACCUCAUGGCUCCUGCCAGCCCCCUGUGGCUCCUGCCAGCUCCAUGCCUCCCUCCCAACUCCUCAUGGCCCCUGCCAGCCCUGUGCCCCACUCCGAGUCCCCCAGACUCCCCUU
rnacentral:lncRNA from 1 species